UCUCGAGCUCCAUUCACACUCCACAUAAAUAAACACGAGUUUCUUCCUCUCUCCGUCGCAUGAGCUGCUUCUUCUCUCCAUCGCACGAGCUUCUUCCGCCGCUGCUCACGUCGCAUGAUAUCUAUCUGUCAUCCCUUGUACCGCACGAGCUUCCUUUGUUGCCGCUCUCGUCGCGUCUGCUCCCUCCAUCGCCAUCGUUAUAGAGCUCUCUUCGCCACCGCUCUCAUCUCCUUUCGUGAAUUUUAGUUGUAGUGAUGAAAGAGGUUCAUCUUCACAUGCUGGUAUCUCGAAACUGAUGACAGAGAUUUCAUUGCUCCUUGCAAAUGGUAAGGUACAUCAAAAUAUGUACAUCAAGAGUGUUUGGAUCACUGGCGUGCGGUUAAGGUAUGGAUGCUGUCUAUAUUUUAGUUUCAACGGUUUGUAUACUAUCACAAUAUCAAUCUAUAUACUGUUUGCAUAGGGUAUCAACUAUGUAGUUCAUAAGUGAUGAAUAUGAUUACUAGUUAAAGGUUUCCAACUUAUAUGUGACGAGUAAAUGCCAAUUUUGUUGAUGUUUGGGCAGAACAAAAGAGCAUUGAGUGUGAUCAAUCAAAAUCUAGUGUAAGGUCGACAUUAUCCUUGUGUUGUUAACAAGAGACCUUUGUCAUUAUCAACUAAUCUUAUUUUACUUUACUUUUUGUUUUGGAUAGAAAUAUUAAUUCCAUAUGACUUCUAAGAUAAUUAUGUUAAAAUCUUAAAUGCCUUCAACUAGGUGAAUAUAUUUGUGAUUAGAUUUUAUAUUGAUGUUGUGUCAAAUGUUAAAAUUUUAUUUUUAAGUAAUUUUGAUGCUUUUAUGUUACCUUGCUUUUGAUGGAACUAAUUUGUUUCACAUGCUUCUUUAUUUAUUUAUUUUUUUCAUUUCUUUGAAUUUAAAAGUUUAAUUUGGAAGUCUAGUAGCAGAAGAAGGAAAGAUGGAGAAGAGGAGCAGGACAACGAUAUAUGUGCACGUCAUUUCAUAAGAAAUUCUAUGUUUGAUAUCUUAUUUCUAUAUCAACGAUGUAUGUUUAAUAUCUUAUUUCUAUAUUCCAUGAAGUUUCUAUACUUUGAAAAGUCCUUUCUUUUUGUUCUAAAUUAUGUAGGAUCGGUUCCUUGACAAAGGCCACUUGAUAUAUCUUUUAUAAAUACCAUUUAUAGAUUUGAAGUUUGAUACUUUAAAAUUUCUUUUCAUUGUUAUCUCCACACAAUUGUGAUAAUUUGAUUAUAAAAGCAAGCUUUUUUGUGAUAAAGAUACAUGCCUAUGUCUCUUGUUUUGAAGGCUUCCGCUUCUAAGUUUGUCAAGCUUUGAAAACUCCAACACUCAAAUUCUGGUAAUAUGAGUUAUUAUGCUAGGACUAAGUUUGUUGAUCAUAGUGUACCUGUAAUUUUACUUAUUCUUUUUUUGGGGUAGGGAUUGUCGAGGUAACUUUGGAUAGGGCUAAAAAUAAGAAUGUUAUAGACACCAAAUUAAUGAGAGGGUUAAUUAAAGCAUGCAUUAGAGGUGAUUAAUCAAGAUUCUUCCACUAAUGUUGCCAUCAUCACCAAUUCAAUUCCUGGUGUCUAUUGUGCUGGUGCCGAUUUAAAGGUAUAAUAAAUAAAUAUAUAUCACCUUUGCAUUUUGAAAUUAAAUUCAUCCAGAUAUUAUGUUAUUAUUGACUUAUAUGAAUGCAAGGCAUUUACUACAUCUGAGGUUCGGGAAUAUUCAAAAGCUCUUCAUGCAACUUUCUCAUUUCUUGAGGCAUAUGAUAUACAUUUGUGUGUUUCGUUUUGAAUCUUGUAUUCAUGGGCAGAGCCACGUGGUAGGAAAAGUGGGCAAUGGCCCCCUAAUUUUAAUUUUUUACAUGUAAAUUAUAUGCAAAUUUCAGUUUAGCCCCCCUUAAAAUUUUAUUUUAGUCUUAUUUUAUUGUAUAAAUAUUUUUAUCCUGCACAUCACAUAUUUUUGUUGCUAUUGUUUAUUGAAUCAAAACAUUUGGUUGUAUGGUGCUCAAUAUUUUCUGUUUUUCUUAAGGUUUUAAAACCUGCAUCAAUUUGUUGAAAUUACCAUGAUGUAAUAACAUGCUUUAUAUCAUUGUCUUGUAUUUGAUAUUGUGAUCACAAGCAAUCUAUAAAACCUGAAUCUCUUUUCCAAUGUUAUUCCUGGAAAAUCACAACUAGUGAAGGUGGAUAUUGUCUACAUGAGUUACUGAUAGAUCAAAAAAGUGUUCUUAGUAGUAUGUUCCUUUAAACUCUUUUUUUCUUGUAGCGUACACUUUCUAGCACAACUUCUAAGGGAAUUUCAUGUUUUAGAGAAAGCUAAAGUGGAUGCAUAUUUUCUCCAUAGUCUAUUUAGAAUAAGAUGCUUGGGUAUCUGUUCAUUUGUUUGCUAAUCUGGACUUACAUGCCCUUCAAAUACUAAUUGAUAUAUGUAAGUAUUAUUUCAGAGAAGUUUUCUGUACUGUAUUUGUGGCCUUCAUAUCUGGUUGACCCUGUUUAAUUUUUUUUCAAUCUUCAAGUAAUGCUUGGGUCUGGAAAUCUCGUACACUUUGAUUCCUUUGAUAUCCGCUAUAUUAGUAGAAACCUCUUAAAUUUCAACUUAUGUAUUUUCGUUGUCUUUUAACAUUUGAUAUCUGUUCUACUUUUUAAAUACAGUUGUAGAUUUGCUAACUCAUGCUUUUAAAUUGAACAGAAAUUAAUUUAUCUCAUGUAGCACUAGUAUAUUUUAUCAAUGAAGAGAGUGAGCCGCCAUUCUUCACUCGCUUCUUUAAAUGGGAUUCUUGAAAAUUUGCAAUGUUGGGAAAUUCAUUUCAGAGGAAGCUUAGAAUAGUGAAAAUGGGGGUGCUCCACUUCUGGAUGUAAGGUUUAAAAUUCCAUCAGGAUUCGUCACAAGAAAGUGGUUUCCUUUGACAAUUUUAUGAGGCACUGUGGUUUGCUUGCUAAUGAACCCAUUUUUGAUGUUGGGUUGAGUCAUUUUGAUGUGAAUAAUGAUGAUGAUGAUGAUAGUGCAUUAUCAAAAAAUGGCAUCUUGAUCAACAAGAAGAAUUUGUAUGAUUCAGACACUCUUUUGUGAUGUAUUCUUUACUCAAAUUAGCAUACUUUGUCAAUUAA